rnacentral:rRNA from 1 species
UACGUAGGGACCGAGCGUUGUCCGGAAUCAUUGGGCGUAAAGAGCGUGUAGGCGGCCACUUAAGUCCUGCGUGAAAUCUUGCGGCUCAACCGCAAGCGGUCGUGGGAAACUGGGUGGCUAGAGUGCGGGAGAGGAGAGUGGAAUUCCUGGUGUAGCGGUGGAAUGCGCAGAUAUCAGGAGGAACACCGGUGGCGAAGGCGGCCUGCUGGGCAGUGGCUGACGCUGAGGCGCGACAGCGUGGGGAGCAAACAGG